CUGCUCAUUCAUUAAGUGGUCAACUUGGACCCUUCUUCAGCUCAGUGAACUAAUAAUUUGCCUAUCUUGUGUGCCUACUCUAUUUUCCUCUUGCAGUCUUAACGACUUUUUCUUUCCUCAUUAGAUAACAUUUAGAAUGGUUUUUAGUUCCAUUUUCUUGGUUGCUCAUUAGAAUAAGGACAAAGCUUUUCAUCUCUUAUUCAUUAUUAUAGUCCUACUUCUAGAAAAGUUUAAGUGUAGUAGUGUGGCCUACAUAGUAUCCCCCCAAAUUUCAGAUCCAUCUGGAACAUCAGAUUGUGAUCUUAUUUUGAAAUAGAAUCCUAGGGAUAUAAUUGGUAAAGAACCUGAGUAUGAAAUCAUACUGAAUUAAAGGUGGGCUCUAAAUUUGAUGACUGGGGUUCUUAUAAAAGAUAACAGGACACAGACACAGACACAGAGGAGAAAAUGUGACGAUAGCGGCAGAGAUUGGAGUGAUGUAUCUACAAGCUAAGGGAAAUAAGGACACCCUGAACUAAGAUAUCCAUAGGUUCACAAGGAGUAUGCAGAUGAAUGAUGGGAUAGAAGAAUAUGAAUAGGAGUCACUGAUGGAUCUUAUCUGGACAAUAAAGGAGGACACAGUGAAGAUUACAGCACAAUUUUGGAGCAAGUAGAGAGAUGUUGUUAACUGGAUUUGAGGAAACAGGAAUCUUAUGAUCAUUGAUGGAUUCACACACACACAACUCCUCCCUCCCUUUUCCAAGGAAGCAGAGUUGAAUACUUUUGGCAUCUUAUUUUUACAUGGUUUAGAAACACUAAAUAUGAUUGGUGAAGAGGGAGGACUUAAGAUGG
rnacentral:lncRNA from 1 species